AACGAACGCUGGCGGCGUGCCUAACACAUGCAAGUCGUGCGAGAAAGUUCCUUCGGGAGCGAGUAAAGCGGCGCACGGGUGAGUAACACGUAGGUAACCUGCCCCCAGUCUGGAACAACUAGAGGAAACUCUAGCUAAUGCCGGAUGAGACCACGAUCCCUUCGGGGGUUGCGGCCAAAGAUGGCCUCUACUUGUAAGCUAUCGCUGAGGGAUGGGCCUGCGGGCCAUUAGCUUGUUGGUGAGGUAACGGCUCACCAAGGCUGUGAUGGCUAGCUGGUCUGAGAGGAUGACCAGCCACACUGGGACUGAGACACGGCCCAGACUCCUACGGGAGCAGCAGUGGGAAUAUUGCGCAAUGGGCGAAAGCCUGACGCAGCGACGCCGCGUGGGUGA
rnacentral:rRNA from 1 species